GACGAACGCUGGCGGCGUGCCUAAUACAUGCAAGUCGAACGAAGCUGUUUUAACUGGUGCUUGCACCGACUUAAACAACUGAGUGGCGAACGGGUGAGUAACACGUGGGUAACCUGCCCCAAAGCGGGGGAUAACAUUUGGAAACAGAUGCUAAUACCGCAUAACCACAGAAACCACAUGGUUUCUGUGUCAAAGAUGGUUUCGGCUAUCACUUUGGGAUGGACCCGCGGCGUAUUAGCUAGUUGGUAAGGUAAUGGCUUACCAAGGCAAUGAUACGUAGCCGAACUGAGAGGUUGAUCGGCCACAUUGGGACUGAGACACGGCCCAAACUCCUACGGGAGGCAGCAGUAGGGAAUCUUCCACAAUGGACGAAAGUCUGAUGGAGCAACGCCGCGUGAGUGAAGAAGGUUUUCGGAUCGUAAAACUCUGUUGUCAGAGAAGAACGUGUGCGAGAGUAACUGCUCGUGCAGUGACGGUAUCUGGCCAGAAAGCCACGGCUAACUAC
rnacentral:rRNA from 1 species